rnacentral:rRNA from 1 species
GAUGAACGCUGGCGGCGUGCCUCAAACAUGCAAGUCGAGCGGGGCUAUGUAAUAUCGCAAGGUAGAACAUAGCCUAGCGGCGGAACGGGUGAGUAACACGUGGGUAACCUGCCUGGAAGACAGGGAUAACGAUUCGAAAGGGUCGCUAAUACCUGAUAAUAUCCUUUCAUCGCAUGGUGAUAGGAAGAAAGGGGAAACCCGCUUUCAGAUGGGCCCGCGUCCCAUCAGCUAGUUGGUAAGGUAAAGGCUUACCAAGGCGACGACGGGUAGCCGGUCUGAGAGGAUGUACGGCCACACUGGGACUGAGAUACGGCCCAGACUCCUACGGGAGGCAGCAGUUGGGAAUCUUAGGCAAUGGACGAAAGUCUGACCUAGCGACGCCGCGUGAGGGAAGAAGGCCUUCGGGUUGUAAACCUCUGUCAUGGGGGAAGAAGUAAGUGACGGUACCCCAAGAGGAAGCCCCUGCUAACUACGUG